CCUACGGGGGGCUGCAGUGGGGAAUAUUGGACAAUGGGCGAAAGCCUGAUCCAGCCAUGCCACGUGUGUGAAGAAGGCCUUCGGGUUGUAAAGCACUUUCAGUGGGGAAGAAAGCCUUGGGGCUAAUACCCUCGAGGAAGGACAUCACCCACAGAAGAAGCACCGGCUAACUCCGUGCCAGCAGCCGCGGUAAUACGGAGGGUGCGAGCGUUAAUCGGAAUUACUGGGCGUAAAGCGCGCGUAGGCGGUCUGAUAAGCCGGUUGUGAAAGCCCCGGGCUCAACCUGGGAACGGCAUCCGGAACUGUCAGGCUAGAGUGCAGGAGAGGAAGGUAGAAUUCCCGGUGUAGCGGUGAAAUGCGUAGAGAUCGGGAGGAAUACCAGUGGCGAAGGCGGCCUUCUGGACUGACACUGACGCUGAGGUGCGAAAGCGUGGGUAGCAAACAGGAUUAGAUACCCUAGUAGUC
rnacentral:rRNA from 1 species